AUAACUCAGUGGUAGAGUGCCUGCCUUGUAUGCAGAGGCUCUGGGUUCGAGUCCCCAGU
rnacentral:tRNA from 1 species